GGCGUCAAACACUUCAGAGCUUGAUCACUCCGCGUGGUGGGCGCGUGCGUGUGUGUGUGUUUUGAUCGUUUAUCAGCACUUUGAAGCGUCUCAAGCACUCGCCACACUUGUUGCACCGAAUGUGCAAGGUUCGAGCUUUUGGUGUUUACCUCACUUCUGCAGCAGUGCAAACACGCCCAAGAACGUUCGAGGACGGUCGGAAGGAGCGGACCCCAGGAGGGGUGAGGAACCGAGAAAGAAAUCGAGAUUGAAACUCGAAGCGAAAGGAGCGUGUUGGCGAAAAGCGAAACUAUAACGGCACACCCCGUAGCACUCAUUCGCAUAUUCGAAGCGAGGACCGUUCUAGUUUGGAGCAACCCGAUUCCCCGCCAACGGCGGCGUUGGUCUACGGUCGGGCGGAAACAAGAAGCUCGCAAGAUACGGAGGCAGGCAGGUGAGGUACGGUCGGUCGUAUGCAAAAAGAAAAUGAAUCGCCUGAAAUGUAUAUCGCCAUCGUACCGCGCCUGAGCACAAGCGUUGCUGCAAACCACGGCGGGUUAGGAAAA